CCCCGCCCCUCCCGCGGCUGGCCCUGGGAAAAGAGCCUCGGCCGAAAGGCGGGACCGCCGGACGGAAGGGGCGUGGAAUCCUACGGAAGGGGCGGGACCGGAAAGUGGGGGGGCGCCUGGGUCAGGCCUAACGGGUUGUCUUUGACUACAGUGAUUACAAAUCUCUACAGAAGUAUACACAUUGGUAUAAAUUGCUGCAGCCCCUUUGGGAAACUAUUUGCAUGAUCAUUGCACUUAAAAAUACACCAUACUGCUGCGCAAGUUCAAGGACCCGAGUUCGAUCCCCGGUACAAAAAAAACAAAAAAUAAAAAUACACCAUAAACUAGCGCUGUGGCAAUAGCCUGUAGACUCAGCUACUCUGGAAGCUGAGGCAGGAGGAGGCUUGAGUGCAAGCAUUGGAGGACAACCUCACAAUUGGAGGCAACAUAUCAAGAUCUUGUCUCAGAGGGGAGAAAAAGCACUGUUAUUCCUGUUCCCAGAAGAGAGUGAACAAAAAGAAGCCACCUUGUACUACCAAGAAAACACAGUCAUGUCCCUGCUGGCCUCUUUCUUGUACGCUGAACACCUGUGAGAGAACCUAGAGACCCUGGAUGGUUUGACUACCUCAGUCACCAGCUACUUUGUGUGCAUCUGUGUAUCUGCGUGUGUAUGAUCCUGGCCACACAGCAUGCAGAUGGAGUCCAUGCUGUUGCACAAGACUAAGCAAGGAAUGGCUCCUAGCUAUGUUCAAGCCCCUCUUUUUCCCCGAGGGAGGGAAAUUCAUAGCAGCUGCUGCCUGUGAUGAUGCUGAAGUAGACCAAUUCAGUACAAAGACACAUGAAAAACCAGAUUUGCAAGUUGUGAAGGAAGUAAAAAAUGAAUCAUCAGAAUCCUCAUCCAUGGAUGAUGAAGAUAGUCCAUUAUGAUAAAAUACAUGUUUUCAUAACAGAAGAGUGGUGUGGAUGGAUGAUGAUGAUGAUAACUUUGACAUUGGCCAUGUGAGCCGAAGUUCCUGAGACAGUGAAAUGGAGCAAAAAUCAACUGAUACAGACAAAGGAAUGGAGACUUCCUUGAUUCAGAUGAGGAAGAAAACAGCAAUUAAAAAAGAAGAUAAGAUGAAGGAGAAGAAGAUGAG
rnacentral:lncRNA from 1 species